rnacentral:rRNA from 1 species
UGCACGCUGAACCACGAGACAAGAAGAGGCCCCGACCAACCAAAAAAAUUGUCCGGGCGGCACCGGCUUGUCCAUUCAUUUCUCAUCCCCGCAGAAAGAAAAGAACAUGGCGGCUGCGACUGCAAGGCAGCUGUUGGUCCACAGGAUCACUACCUCCUGCUCCUCAGGGACGCUUCCCAAGCACACUUCCAGCAGCCAUGGCCGCUCUGCUUACAGCUCCAUGUGCUUCAACAAGGCCGAGAAGCUCCCCAGUUUCAGGGCAAGAGUGUCCGUGAAACCGCCGCGCGCCGUGCCGGGGAAGGGCGGCAUUGUGCCGGCCGACGAUGACGGGGUCAGCCUCGGCACCGUGAAGCUGCCCGCCAACAUCGACGUCGCUCGGUUCGAGGGGUUGCUCUUUCAGUGGGGAAACAGUCUAUGCCAAGGCGCCAUGUUGCCACUGCCAGUGCCUAUCAAGGUGGACAAGGUGGAGGGCGGGAUCAGGCUAGGGUUCAUCGGGAUCGACGACGGCGCGACCUCGCUGCUGGCCUACAUCGACUGCCUGGUGUCUCCGGCGACCGAUGGCUCUGGGUUUGUGUUCCGAGCAAUCAGGAACGGUGCUAUGAAGGACAUGGAGCCGCCUGGGGAGCCCCGGAUCAUGAGGAGCCUCCUCAUGGCGCUUCAGAAGUCCAUCCAGAUUGCGCGAGUUUGACAAGCCUGUUCAGAUUCUGCAAGUUUGACACUGAAGAAGGAAUAUGAUGCAGCACGAUUGCCUUUCUCUGUUGAUACAAUUUGUAAUCCCUAUUUUUCAAGGUCUCCUUUCAUGUUCUCUUCCAAGAUAAAGAUAUAAAUUCCAUUAGAGGAAGUAAUGCUAAACAACUCCACUGUCUUCUCUUUAUUCAUAAUAUAAUAUUUCCUGAAGGACUUCAACAGUUAGACUAAUUGGUCGAAAAUUUGAGUUACAGAGUACACACGCACACGGUAAAGAAAACAUGUCAAUAUAACAACUGGAGCAUUGCCAACCGUCACUUUUAAGUAUACAUGAACCACUGUCAAAUUGGGCUGGAAAAAAUCAGCCUAAAACUCAAAGGGCCAACCACUAUCUCAAACACAACGGGCAAACACAGUUUCGAUUAUGAACUGGAACACGCCUCUAGCUUUGGGAGGAUGCUGCGCCACGCAUCAGCGAUGUCUUUAGCUAACUUUGCUUGACCUUUCGCAAACUCAUGGAAUGCAAGUCCAAUAUCAGCUGUUUUCUGCUCCUGGAAUCGUGCAAGCUCGUCGUUCAUUACACUAACUAUGUGCUCGUACCUCUUCGUAGCCUCCUCACUGGCUGCUUUCAACU